UAGUCGUAGCCAGCACGUUUUGCCACAAAACGGGCGCGUCCAUACCGAAGUGUUGCGGAAGUAAGCCCUAUUUCAGUGCCUGGUAUAAAUUUGUGCACGCAUUGGGCCGAAAUAUCCAGCUAAAUACACAAAUGAUCCGUUUACAGCCUGCAGGCCCGGGUGGGGCGGUGACGGGAGGACUCAAGGUGGAUCCACAGGAGCAGAAGAAGGCCCUGAGGCAGGAGGUCUGGGCGAACGUCAAAGUCUUUGUGGUCAUCGUGGCUGCACUUCGAGCCGCUCCUUACAUUCUGGACAAGAUGGGAUUUAUGGAGUCAUAAUAUCUACUGACCAGGAUGGCACGAUGUGUGGUCGAGCUCGGGUUUGAGUUUUUGGUGACACAGAUGGGAUGGAGCAUUGGACUGUGGAGUUACAGAAAUGAAGACUGCAUCAGCUGGAGUUGAACUUUUCCUAGCUAAUUCAGUGAUAUUGAGUAUCAUUGUAGUAUUUGUACUCAUUCCAAGGAAAGUUUAGUAUACGAUAAGAUGAUGUUGCGCAAUGAUCCAUGUGUUUGUCAGCAGGGCUAGCCCUUUGUAAUAGCCAUAGGCUAGUUGGGCAGCCCUGGCUGUGUGUUCGUUGCAGCCAAACCAAUAAAUAAAUAAAUAAAAUCCAUUUUGUUAUAACCACACUUUUCCUUAUUACUCCAUAAUUUGCAAGGUCACUAUUUUUAUUCUACAUUCUAAGGAACUUGACAAAAAGCAAGUAUCAGUUCUGUAAAUAAUGACAUCAUUACUUUGUCUAACCUGACCCAAUACUCUACACAUGGAUACAACCACCAAAUGACAAUUUCAGAGAAGACCCCCAUUUCCAUUGGUCAGUGAUUAUCAAUUCUUGACUGAAUUGUCUCCAGCUAAGAUUGAAUCUUGUUUUAGAUAUUGAGAAGCAGUAGAUGAUGUAGAUUUCGCCUCUUGUUUCCUGAUUGUUUUUCCACUUAAAAGCAGAUCUAGAAUCCUGGAUAUAGAUGUAUUUGCAUUGAGCCUGUUAGUUGCAACUUGAUGUGACUUGACAUAUGCUUGUGUGCGAGAUUAAAACAUAUUGUACAGAACUUCUCUCAUUCAUGUCAGUUUAAUAUUGGUAAUGGCUCUAUGAUAAUGAUCCACUGUUAGUGUAUAUAACACCCUCCAGUUUAAUUUGGAACAGGUUUUCUGCGCAGGAUUUGCGAGCGCGGGAAUUUUUUUUCUUUUGAAAUAUGUACAAAAAUGUACAACACAAAAUUGUCAUGCCUUGUUUUUCCCCCCGCGCUAUCUCAUUAAAUUUGGAGUCUGUGGAGGAUGUCAUCCGGAAAAUUUACUUGCUGUGGCCUAAAUUACAUAAUUGAUGCAUAAGGCCACAGCAAGCAAUCUUUAUGGAUGACAUCCUCUGCAGACGGCAAAAAUGAGAAAGGGCAACAAAAAAACAAGAUGGGUAAAAAACGAGAUGGCUGAAUGUUCAAAAUAGGUGCCAUAAAUGUUGUAAAAAGAACUGAAGUGACAAAACGUGGUACCACAUCCCAACAAGCCAUUUAUCCCAGCACUCUUGGUACAGCACAACUCCAUUGCAAAUGCUGGAAAAGAACAUUGUUACAGAGUGUUAAAGAAAUACUUGAUUGAAGUGGACACUCAUACGGCACUCCAUUAAAGCACUCUGUGCCCGAGUAUGUAUGUAUCCUGAUAAGGUCCAGAAUUACCGAUACACAGGUAUGUAUACCCAGACGUUUCUACAUAUAAAUUUAAGUAUAGAUACUGGUAAGCUGAGAAAACUAUAAGAGAAAUAGAAGGAAGAAAUCAUGCCACUAUGUUUUAGUUUGGUUAUAGUUGGUUUGGACCACCACCCAUGUAACAGCGGUAUGGUCCACUAGUGGUUACGUCAUGGAUGACGUUGUACCCUUGUCCACCAUCUAUGGUCCGCCGUGAUGUUGUGUUCCUGGAAUUGCCCCUGCUGUCAUCUUUGACACAUGUAGUUUCAAGUUGUGUUCCUUGAAUUGCACUUACUGUUGUGUAUACUCUCCAAGCAGAGUUCAACGGCAUCAGU